CCUACGGUGUGCAGCAGUGAGGAAUAUUGGUCAAUGGGCGCGAGCCUGAACCAGCCAAGUAGCGUGAAGGAUGACUGCCCUACGGGUUGUAAACUUCUUUUAUAAAGUAAUAAAGUGAUGCACUUGUGCGUUUUUGUAUGUACUUUAUGAAUAAGGAUCGGCUAACUCCGUGCCAGCAGCCGCGGUAAUACGGAGGAUCCGGGCGUUAUCCGGCUUUAUUGGGUUUAAAGGGAGCGUAGUUGGGUUGUUAAGUCAGUUGUGAAAGUUUGCGGCUCAACCGUAAAAUUGCAGUUGAUACUGGCAGUCUUGAGUACAGUUGAGGUAGGCGGAAUGCGUGGUGUAGCGGUGAAAUGCUUAGAGAUCACGAAGAACUCCGAUUGCGAAGGCAGCCUACUAAACUGCCACUGACACUGAUGCUCGAAAGUGUGGGUAUCAAACAGGAUUAGAUACCCUAGUAGUC
rnacentral:rRNA from 1 species